GCUGAUGUGGCUCAAAGGUAGAGCACGGCACUCGUAAUGCCGGGGUUGUGGGUUCGAUUCCCACCAUCAGCU
rnacentral:tRNA from 1 species